rnacentral:rRNA from 1 species
UACGUAGGGGGCUAGCGUUGUCCGGAAUCAUUGGGCGUAAAGCGCGUGUAGGCGGCCCGGUAAGUCCGCUGUGAAAGUCCAGGGCUCAACCCUGGGAUGCCGGUGGAUACUGUCGGGCUCGAGUCCGGAAGAGGCGAGUGGAAUUCCUGGUGUAGCGGUGAAAUGCGCAGAUAUCAGGAGGAACACCGGUGGCGAAGGCGGGUCUCUGGGCAGUGAACUGACGCUGAGGAGCGAAAGCGUGGGGAGCGAACAGG